rnacentral:rRNA from 1 species
AUGUUGAAGGGUGGGGAAGGCGCGGACGUGACCUUCACCGUCGCAGGCCAGUCGUUCCUUGCGCAUAGAUGUGUGCUCGCCGCAAGGUCCCCGGUCUUUAAGGCCGAGCUCUUUGGUAUGAUGAAUGAGACUCUGGCGCAGAGCAUCAAGAUCAAUGGCAUGGAACCCUCCAUCUUCAAGGCACUUCUUCACUUCAUCUACACAGAUUCUCUGCCGGAUGACCGGCAUGCGGAGGAUAGACACACGGAGAUGCAGCAUCUGCUGGUUGCCGCGGAUCGAUACGGAGUCGAUAGGUUAAUGGCGAUGUGCGAAGAGAAAUUGUGUCGAAGCAUCAACGUGAAAACCGUUGCAACAACCCUUGCUCUAGCGGAGCAACACCACUGCGUGCACCUAAAAAGGGCAUGUCUUGAAUUUUUGUCUUCAAGGGAUGUGCGCCAAGCUGUCAAAGAAACAGAUGGAUUCAGGCAUCUUGUAGCAAGCUGCCCAUCGGUUAUCCUCGAGAUUUUUGAUAAGCCUCCCCCGCUGUCCUGA